AUGGUUUCUUCUCGCUGUCACCGGCCGCAUAUUUGGAAGUGGGCCAUUGUGAGGAAGGUGGACAUGCUUGACAGGGUCACCAUCUUGCGGUCCGAGAAGGUCGAGGAUGAGAUCGUCCUCGACGGCACCGACAUCGAGCUCGUCUCCCGCUCUGCCGCCCUCAUCAACCAGAGGGCUACUUUGGCCGCCUUGCUGUUUGUUGAGCGUUGUGCUGCAUGUUUAGAUGCCAGUGCACACCCCAUUAUUGGUCAUUUGAUUCAGAACGGCAGUCUUAUCUGGAGGAUGCCCAGGCUGACCAGGAGGACACCCUUCUGCACCUCGGCCAUCACACAAGGUCUUCCUUCUAUUUUUUCCCGCUGUUUGUUCAUGUCCUACUUGUGUUUCAGUUCCAUUGGCUCCUACUGCAAACAGGUCUAUAACAGGUUAACACCUGGAGAGGCUCGACCUAUGAGCAGCGAGCUGUUGCUGCUGCCGCCGGAUGCUCCAGCGGCGAAACCUCCGUCGAUUCCCUCCACGGCCACUACCACUACCCUAGCUACCACUGCCGAUGGAACCACCACCAUAUCCUCGCUCGGCCAAGACCAGCUCCUUGAGAUCUUCCUCCGCCUGCCGAGCCUGCCGGCCCUCGUCCGCGCCAUGCUCACUUGCCGCUCGUGGCUUGGUGCCGUCCGCUCCUUCCGCAACCUCUUCCGCGCCCUCCACCCGGCGCCCCUCAUCCGGAUCUUCCUUGAUGUCGACGAAGGCAAUGUCUGCUUGUUCGUCAAUAAGGACAUUACACUGGCAGAUUAA
rnacentral:rRNA from 1 species